UACAGAGGGUGCAAGCGUUGUUCGGAAUUAUUGGGCGUAAAGCGCGUGUAGGCGGCUUUGCAAGUCAGAUGUGAAAGUCCUGGGCUUAACCUGGGGACUGCAUUUGAUACUGAUUGGCUUGAAUGCAGGAGAGGAUAGCGGAAUUCCCAGUGUAGAGGUGAAAUUCGUAGAUAUUGGGAAGAACACCGGUGGCGAAGGCGGCUAUCUGGACUGUGAUUGACGCUGAGGCGCGAAAGCGUGGGGAGCAAACAGG
rnacentral:rRNA from 1 species